rnacentral:tRNA from 1 species
AGAAACUUAGGAUAAGCUUAGACCAGGGGCCUUCAAAGCCCCCAGCAAGGGUGAAAACCCCUUAGUUUCUG